ACGUAGGGUGCAAGCGUUAAUCGGAAUUACUGGGCGUAAAGCGUGCGCAGGCGGUUGUGCAAGACAGAUGUGAAAUCCCCGGGCUCAACCUGGGAACUGCAUUUGUGACUGCAUCGCUGGAGUGCGGCAGAGGGGGAUGGAAUUCCGCGUGUAGCAGUGAAAUGCGUAGAUAUGUGGAGGAAUACCGAUGGCGAAGGCAGCCCCCUGGGAUAACACUGACGCUCAUGCACGAAAGCGUGGGGAGCAAACAGGA
rnacentral:rRNA from 1 species